rnacentral:rRNA from 1 species
GAGUUUGAUCCUGGCUCAGGAUGAACGCUGGCGGCGUGCCUAAUACAUGCAAGUCGAGCGAACAGAUAAGGAGCUUGCUCCUUUGAAGUUAGCGGCGGACGGGUGAGUAACACGUGGGUAACCUACCUAUAAGACUGGGGAUAACUUCGGGAAACCGGAGCUAAUACCGGAUAACAUUUAGAACCGCAUGGUUCUAAAGUGAAAGAUGGUUUUGCUAUCACUUAUAGAUGGACCCGCGCCGUAUUAGCUAGUUGGUAAGGUAACGGCUUACCAAGGCGACGAUACGUAGCCGACCUGAGAGGGUGAUCGGCCACACUGGAACUGAGACACGGUCCAGACUCCUACGGGAGGCAGCAGUAGGGAA